UACGGAGGGAGCAAGCGUUACUCGGAAUUAUUGGGCGUAAAGGGCGCGUAGGCGAUCUGACAAGUCCUGUGUGAAAGCCCACAUGUUAACUGUGGAAGUGCACAGGAAACUGUUGGAUUUGAGUUCAGGAGAGGAAGGCAGAAUUCCCGGUGUAGCGGUGAAAUGCGUAGAGAUCGGGAGGAAUACCAGUGGCGAAGGCGGCCUUCUGGACUGACACUGACGCUGAGGCGCGAAAGCCAGGGGAGCAAACGGG
rnacentral:rRNA from 1 species